AUUAUAAUGAAUCUUAACCUACUAUUAUUAAAUACAAAUGCUUUAUAAAUAAAAACUUAAAACUAUAAAUAUAAAUAAAAAUGAAUAAAAACUUAACACUAACUAAAUAAACAAACUGACAACGCAGUUCGGUUUCUAUGUAGUGAUUAAUAUUUUCUGCGCGCGGGUAACCGGUCCAAGCGCGAGCGCCGGGCGGCCAUGUCUAGGCGCGAGCCGAAGAUUCAAUAGAACGCGAACGGCGACCAUUAGCUCUCAACCUUUUGAUACGGCCUAAUGUGCGUACGCUCUGCGCGCCGCACAAUAUUUUCGUGUCAGUUUACUUACUUGAUUGAUACUGAUAGAAAUCAUUAUUUUGUAUUUGUAAAAUACUUGCACUUCAAAAUAAAUAAUAAGUGAAGUGAAACAAAUAUUUUCCCGUAUUGGGAUCACCCUGCGGGUUCUUGGAUGGCGAAGACCUGGAGGCGCACUCGGAAGCACAACCUUAACUGGGACUGGAAGCCCGAGGGGAGUAAGGAGUGUGUAAAGUGUCACGGCUGCGGAUCUAAGACCAGACCCUACCCUGAGAUAGCUUAAAUAAAUUCUUAGUUUGUUUUCCUCAUA